rnacentral:lncRNA from 1 species
UUUCUUUUUAUCUUUAAUGAAAGAGUUGUAUUUAUUAAAAAAAAUAUAGAUAAAUAAGUGUAUGAAUGAACACAUAGAAUCUCUAUUUUAUGAGUAUCAAUAUUUUAUCAAACAGAAAUAAAUUCAAUAAACCCUUCUGAAAAUUGAUGCCUUCUAGCAAAUAACAUCUGUUCAGUCUGGCAUACUAGCAGAGAACAGCAAGAGAUGAAAUAAAAUGGUGUUAAAUAUAGAUCUGAAUAUCCUCUUUCUCAACAUCUUGAUAACAUAAAUAGAUAUUUAAAGUUACCCUAGAUUUGUUCCUACAAAA